ensembl:snoRNA SNORD31 Small nucleolar RNA SNORD31
AUUAGAAGUGAUGAAUGACCAUUACCGCCCCAGUCUGAAGAUUCAUGACUGAUUGGUAUCCCCUCUGAUCAAGA